rnacentral:rRNA from 1 species
AUUGAACGCUGGCGGCAGGCCUAACACAUGCAAGUCGAGCGGAUGAGGGGAGCUUGCUCCUGGAUUCAGCGGCGGACGGGUGAGUAAUGCCUAGGAAUCUGCCUGGUAGUGGGGGAUAACGUCCGGAAACGGGCGCUAAUACCGCAUACGUCCUGCGGGAGAAAGUGGGGGAGCUUCGGACCUCACGCUAUCAGAUGAGCCUAGGUCGGAUUAGCUAGUUGGUGGGGUAAAGGCCUACCAAGGCGACGAUCCGUAACUGGUCUGAGAGGAUGAUCAGUCACACUGGAGCUUAGACACGGUCCAGACUCCUACGGGAGGCAGCAGUGGGGAAUAUUGGACAAUGGGCGAAAGCCUGAUCCAGCCAUGCCGCGUGUGUGAAGAAGGUCUUCGGAUUGUAAAGCACUUUAAGUUGGGAGGAAGGGCAGUAAGUUAAUACCUUGCUGUUUUGACGUUACCAACAGAAUAAGCACCGGCUAACUUCGUG